UUUCUCAUAGUCAUAAUUUUCUAUUACCAUUUUUGCAAAAGCAGUUUGAAGCCCUGCAGGUGACUCUGGCCAUGUUGACAGCUUUGGGCUCAACCACCCACCGCCUCUUCCCCACCGCAGCCACCUGACCUCUAUUACCCUGAUCCCAAUUAGAUGGAUCCUGGCUCAACUUCCCGUGCUUUUCGCCCGCUCGGCUCCUCCCACUUGGCCUCAGCUCCUCCCACCCAGUCUUGGCUCCUUCCAUUUGGCCUCGUCUCCUUUCACCAGCCUCGUCUCCUCUCACCCAGCCUCGGCUACCACCUCUGCUACCCGCUGGACCUCGGCUUUCCAGGACCUGCUUCGAUAACUGGCUUUGGGGAGAACUUGCUGCCAUAAAGAAAUUCAGCCCUGCUGAGAGGCCUACAUGAUUUGGAAGUGUAGGUCCCUUGAAAACAGCUAGCAUGAACUCGUCAGGCAUGUGUGAGCCAUUUCGGAAGUGGACCUUCCAUCAGGACAAAUUCUGGAUGAUUGUGGUCUGCUGACAUCUGGACUGAAACCUCAUGAGAGAUCCUGAAGAGGAACUACAGAGCUGUGUUGUUUCUGAAUUCCUGAAUGAUUUGUCACAAUUUUUAUAAGUUUUGUUGUUGGAAGCCACAAAAUUUUGGGGGGUAAUUCCUACAUCUGGUGUGACUUCUCUCAUGUUAUCUGAGGAUGAAAGAUCAACAAAUGCUUUCCCCACAGUUUUUGAAUUCACAAUUGUCUAUUAUGUAUUCUCUUACGCAAAGAAAGGUUAUAGUUAGUAGCAAAGAAUUUCCCACAGUGAUUACAUUCAUGGGGCUUUUCUCCAGCAUGCGUUCUCGUGUGUUUCUUAACCAAUGAGAGAACGUUAACGGCUUUUCCACAGUAAUUGCAUUUAUAGGGUUUCUCUCCUGCGUACUGUAAGAGAAAAUCUACGGGUGAAAGAUGUUCCACACACAUUACAUUUGUAGGGUUUUUCUCCAGUAUGAGUUCUUAAGUGUUGUCAGAUUUGUGCUCCUCGUGAAGGUCUUCCCACAAUCGUGGCAUUCAUAAGGUUUCUCCCCUGUGUGAAUUCUAUUGUGCAAAGUAAGAGACGACCUCGUGCAGAAAGCCUUUCCACACUGAUUAUAUACAUAAUGAUUCUCCCCCGUAUGAGCUCUCUUGUGGCUUGUGAAGACAGAGUGCGGAACUCAUGAAGACAAUGGUUACAUUUGUAGGGUUUUUCUCCAUUGUGAAUUCUCCAGGGCACACUAAGGGAUGAGGAAUUAAUGAAGGCUUUCCCACAGUCACUGCAUUCAUAGGGCUUCUCCCCAUUGUGGAUUCUCUUAUGAACAGUAAGGUAACAUCUAAUCCUGUUAGAUGUGGGAUUUCCCACACUCACUGCAGUCAUAGGGUUUUUCUCCAGUAUGAAUCCUCUUGUGCCACGUAAGGGAAGAUUUUGAGCUGAGGACUUUAAAACACUGAUUACAUUUGCUGAGUUUUGCUCCAAGAUGAUUUGUCUCCUGUUGAUUAAGAGAUGACUAGUAAGUACAAUUUAUAAUAUUUUUAGCACUGAAUACUGUCAUGGGUCCCUCUCCCAGGAAUUCUGUUGUGUAUCAUGGUAUUAGAAUUAAUCGUUUUGCCACUAUAAGUGUGCUGGUACAUGGCUUCUGUCAGUUUGAUUCUUAGAAUUUAAAAAAGAUGGAUUCUUUCUAAACAUCUUUAUCAUAUUCAUAGAGCGUUUUUCUGAUAAGUUUAAGGCUAAUUUUUUUUUUUUUUUUUGAGAUGAAGUUUCGUUCUUGUCACCCAGUCUGGAGUGCAAUGGCAUGAUCUUGGCUCAUUGCAACCUCCAUCUCCUGGGUUCAAGCUAUUCUCCUGUCUCAGCCUCCCAAGUAGCUGGGAGUACAGGCUUGUGCCACCAUGCCCAGCUAAUUUUUUUGUAUUUUUAGCAGAGAUGGGGUAUAACUCUGUUGGCCAGACUGGUCUCAAACUCCUGACCUCAGGUGCUCCACCCACCUUGGCCUCCCAAAGUGCUGGGAUUCCAGGUGUGAGCCACUGCGCCCAGCUACUUUGUUUUCCAAAUACCCCAUUAUCUGACUCAGACUACUGGAUGUAUUUACUUGUGGGACUUCUCAGGAAAAAGAAGUUUGGGGCUAAUGCUUUUCUCCAAAUUCUAAAUAAUUUCACAGUAUCUCUCCAGAGACACUAUUUUCUCUUGGAAAAAUGACACUUUCCUUUAAUAACUAUUUAAUAAAGCCACUCUUGGUGGCUUUUCUAAUGUGGGGCAUCCUCCUACCAUGAAAAGCCAUUGACCACUCAUGUUAGUCUUACCAUUUUCAUAUUUCUAGAUUGUUCUUUUCGAAAAACACGUAGCUUUGAAGUUAGCCCGCUAGCUUUAAGUGGAGUCUCCACAUCUGAAACAAGUUAAAAAGAAAUUUAAGUUGAUAGAAAAGUAGCAAUUUUAAGUUGAUGGUGAAAUGGUAAAAUGCAUAUAUGAGUGAAGGCAGAAUCUGAGAUGUGGGCUUUUUGAGAAGGCAUGCAACAAAUGGGAUACGGACGUGAAAAUUUUAGGCAGGCCGGGCGUGGUGGCUCAAGCCUGUAAUCUCAGCACUUUGGGAGGCCGAGGCAGGUGGAUCAUGAGGUCAACAGAUUGAGACCAUCCUGGUCAACAUGGUGAAACCCCGUCUCUACUAAAAUUACAAAAAAUUAGCUGGGCACGGUCGGUGGUGCUUGCCUGUAAUCCCAGCUACUCUGGAGGCUGAGGCAGGAGAAUUGCCUGAACCCAGGGGGCGGAGGUUGCAGUGAGCUGAGAUUGCGCCAUUGCACUCCAGCCUGGGUAACAAGAGCGAAACUCCGUCUCCAAAAAAAAAAAAAAAAAUUUAGGCAAUGUUUAAUAAAGAUUCUAGCGAGAUAGAGAUUGAUGAUGACAAAACGAAGGAAUUGUCAGGAAGGCAAGGUGGACUGAAACUGCUCAAAGAACUCAUAGGAGACUUACAUUUAAGAAAAAGAGACGUCUUUUUUUUUUUUUUUUUUUUGAGAUGGAGUCUAUUGCCUGGGCUGGAGUGCAAUAGCGCAAUCUCGGCUCACUCCAACCUCUGCCUCCCAGGUCGAGAUUCUCCUGCCUCAGCUGUUGUACCCAAAGCAAGUUUAAAACAGAAGCUCCACACUGAGUUUGUUGAGUCCAUUUAAUGCCGGCGUCCAAGAGUCAGCUAUUGCUCAAACCUCUCAGCCCUGAACAAAAGGCAGUCAACAUUUUUAUACCUUUGCGGGGUUAGGAGAGGGAAGCAAAUUGUUACAGAAGCAGAAAGAGCAGGUUAGGGGAGGGGGGACCUAACAACAAAGAUUCUAUUUAAAGUUGUUUGUCAAGCAGGAUGUGGGGAAGGCAAUGACACAGCUGCAGGUACAGGAUGUAUGGGCCAGUGGGCCUUGUUUCUCAGAGAAACAGGUUACAAAAUACUAGGUGCCUCAGGUUACAAAGUUUCAGGAACAAAGUGCUCUACAUAGCUCAGGGUGGUUAGAAUGGGAGUUAACAGGAUUGCUUAAAACGGAGUCACCAUAGCCAGGCUAGAUUAUCUCACUGGAGUUCGCCUCUCCAAGGGCCAGCUCUGAACCCUAUAUGAACUACAAUGGCCAACCUUUGACGUGGGAUGGCCAAACACAGGCCCUAAGUGGUCCAGGCAGUUUGGAGGGUAGUCACAAGAAACCCAGGUCACCCCAACCAGUUCCCGUAUAUUGAUCAGUAGCUAAGGUUGGUCCUGAACCACCACUAUGGCUGAAGUCCUGUGCAGCUCAAAACCCUGCCUCUAAGGUACUCAACCAUACCAGUCGGUCGCCACCCUCUUCAGCUCGGCCCCUCUAGUCCUGCCCCCAUCUGGGGAGAACAAAGGUUUCCCCCUCAUCCUCCCUCUGCCCUACGACCCUGUUGUUGCCCACUGUUACUUUCCUAUACCCCCACUGCAUCCCCACCUGUGGCCCCAAGGCUUUGGCCACAACAGGAGCUAGAGGCUGCUCCCCUCCCUCCCUUUGAGGGAGGCAUCGCAUCCGGCUGGUGGUGAGUGAUCAACCCCAUUUUUGGUUUAUGUCCCAUUUUCCACCUCUGAUUUACAUAAUAGGAGAACUCAGAACCUGCUGUUUUCUGAAAAAACCCAGGUUCUGACCUCCUGGUGGAAUCCAUACUGCAGAAUCAUCAUUCUACUUGGGAUGACUGUCAGCAAAUCCUCCACUCUUUUUACCACAGAGGAGAGCUACUAUAUCUGAAGGGAAGCAGGGAAACACUUCCUCACCUCCACUGGCCAACCUGAGGAGGGCAGGAACCGGUUGGAGGAGGUUUUCCCCUCAACCAGACCAGACUGGACCCUAACUCCUCAGUGGGGAGAAGGGCUUUGGACAGCUUCCACUGGUAUCUUCUCUCGGGUAUUAAGGGAGCUGCACAGAAGCCCAUGAAUUUAUCUAAAACCACGGAAGUGGUCCAGGGGACAAUGAGUCUCCAGGGGCAUCUCCAGGAGGCCUAUCGUAUUUACACCCCAUUUGAUCUGGCUGCACCCCAAAAUAGCCAUGCUUUAAAUUUGGCUUCUGUAACUCAGGCGGCCCCAGACAUCCAGAGAAAAUUACAAAAGCUGGAGGAAUUUGCUGGAAUGAGUAUCACAUAACUUUUAGAAAUAGCCCAAAAGGUGAUAACAGGGAGAAUGAGAAACAAAACCAGGCGGCCCAAGCUGCUUGUGACAAGGCUUCCAAAAGACAGGCAAAAAUUUUGGUGGCUGCCCUCCAGGAGGCACGGGGAAGACCCCCCUCCCCAACAAAUCAACAAGGGCCGUCAGUUGGGGGCCUGAGCUCCGCUCCAGUGAAAUCAGUGCGCCUACUGUAAAAAACUGGAAAAAUGCCCCAAAAGACAAGGAACUGAAAAAAAAGAAACUGCUAGCCUUGGAGGAGCUAGAAGAUUGACAGGGCUGGGGCUCAUUCUUGCUUGGUCCCCAGAAGCCCAUGGUCAGCGCCACAGUACAGGGUCACCCUGUAAAAUUUUUAAUUGACGCUGGAGUGAAACGCUCAGUAUUAAAAACACCUUUGGGCCAGGUGAACUGAUCACAAAAGGAGCAGUUCAAGGGGCCACAGGGACUAUCUGCAACUAUGAGAAGUAAACCUAUCUCAUUCCUUCUUGGUAGUUCCACCCAUAUCCCCUAAUGGGAAGUUAUCUACUCCAUAAACUGCAAGCCUCUAUCUCCUUCUCAACCCGAGGAACUCAUCUCACCUUAGAGAACCAGGACUCAUCAACUACCCACCUCUUACUGACCACCCCCCACCCCACCCCGCCAUGUCAGAUGAAUACCUCCUGGUUUUAAAUGCCCCACCAUAGCCUCAGAAAACAGCUCACUUAUGCUGGAAUUAGAGGCCUAGUUUCACCCCUUUUGGGUGGAAUCAACCCCCUGGGACUGGCAAAACACCACCCUCCUGGGACAGUGGAGUUGUUGGCUGCAGCUCUACCAGUACAAGUAAAACAGUAUCCCAUGAGUCAAAAAGCCAGGGAAGGCGUAAGUCCCCAUAUACAGCGGCUACUGCAGGCAGAUAUUUUAAGGCCAUUCCUGCCAGUAAAGAAGCCUGGUACCAAUGACUAUCAGCUGGUCCAGGAUUUUCGGGACGUUAACAAGCAGUCUAGUCACUAUUCACCCAACUGUCCCAAACCCAUACAUCCUCCUCAGCCUGCUCCUGCCAAACCAUACAGUAUACACUGUUUUGGACUUAAAGGAUGCCUUCUUUGUCAUCCCCUUGGCCAACAGCAGCCAGCCAAUCUUUGCUUUCAAAUGGACAGAUCCAAACUCGGGAGACACCACCCAACUUGCUUGGACCUGCUUAUCCCAGGGGUUCAAGAAUUCUCCUACCCUUUUUGGAGAUGUUCUCCAACAAAACCUAGUGCCUUUCCGAGCCAGUCAUCUAGACUGCACCCUUCUCCAGUAUGUAGGUGACUCACUGCUGGCCACGGAAAUGGCCAACAGCUGUCUACAACAUACAAAAGACUUGCUGUGUCUCCUCCUGGGACUUGGAUACCAAGUCUCAGCAAAAGAGGCCCAAGUCUGCCUCCAAAAGGUACUUUACUUAGGAUAUGAACUCACCAAGGGAAAGUGAGCACUUUCCAAUGCUCAACAACAGGCUAUCUUGCAAAUUCCAAAAAACAGGUGUGGGAAUUCCUGGGGGCAGCAGGGUACUGCCGCCUCUGGAUUCUGGGGUUCACAGAAAUUGCAAAACCCCUCUACACCAUGACCAGUGGAAGCAGGGAGUUGGUCUGGACUGAGACAGAGGAACAGGCCUUCCAGAACCUAAAAAGGGCUCUCACUGAAGCACUGGCUUUGGCACUCCCCGAUGUGUCAAAACCUUUCCACCUCUUUGUUCAUGAAAACAAGGGCAUGGCCAAGGGAGUCCUCACCCAGUCCCUGGGACCAUGGUGGCAGCCAGAUGCCUACUUAUCAAAAAAAUUGGAUCCAGUGGCUUCAGGUUGGCCAAGCUGCCUGUGGGCAGUGGCAGCUACUGCAAGUUUGGUCCAGGAAGCCGGUAAGUUAACCUUGGGCCAAGAACUAACCCUUUCAGCACCCCGUGCAGUGGAAACUCUGCUCAAGAGUGCCUCGGGAAAAUGGAUGUCAAACUCGCGGAUCUUACAGUACUGAAGCCUGCUACUGGAGCAGCCCAGGCUGACUUUCCAUCCUGCAUGAUGCUUGGAUCUGGCAACUUUGCUCCCAGACCCAGACUUCUCUGCUCCCAUUCAUGACUGCCAAGAAAUACUUGAGGUCACUAAGACCACCAGUAGGCCAGACUUGCAAGAUACCCCUCUGGAACAGGCGGAUGCAACUCUGUUCACCGAUGGAAGCAGUUUCAUCAACCAGGAGGUAUGCAGGGUCAGUGCAGCUAUCACAACAGAGACCAAUAUUAUCUGGGCCCAAGCACUACCCAAUGGCACCUCCGCACAAAAGCCUGAACUAGUAGUCCUCACCCAGGGCCAAAGACAAGCAAGUAAACAUCUACACUGACAGUCGAUAUGCCUUUGCUACUGUACAUGUACAUGGGGCCAUAUACUGGGAGAGGGGUUUACUUACCUCUGCAGGAUAAACUAUCAAAAACAAAGAGGAAAUCCUGGCCCUGCUCGAUGCCAUAUGGCGUCCCUGUCAGGUUGCUGUAAUCCACUGCAAAGGACACCGGAGAGAAACAUGACCAUUGCCUGGGGAAACCAGAAGGCAGACUCUGCAGCCUAUGAAGCAGCUAUGCUUCCUGUCACUCCACUGACACUGUUGCCAGUCGUAUCCUACCCACAGCCAGAGCUGCCCAUCCAUCCAACAUAUUCUCCAGAGAAAGAGAAGCAAGCAUCAGAUCUUCAGGCCAACAAAAACCAAAAUGGAUGGUGGAUCGCCUUGGACUCGAGAAUCUUCCUGCCUGAGUCCCUUGGGUGGGCCCUAGUUGGCCAACUUCAUUCCACCACUCACCUAGGAGGAACCAAGUUGGCUCAGCUUUUACAGGGUACUUCAAAAUCCCCCACCUUCAGGACUUAACUGUACUGGCAGCUUACAACCGCAUGGCCUGGGCACAAGUAAACACCAGGCAAGGUCCCAAACCUGAACUGGGCCACUGCCUCCGAGGAUGCAGCCCAGGAGAAAGGUGGGAAAUAGACUUUACAGAAAUAAAACCACACUAGGCAGGAUCCAAGUAUCUCCUGGUGAUGGUCGAUACUUUUUCCAGAUGGACUGAGGCGUUUGCCACUCGAAAUUAAACUGCAUCCACAGUAAUAAACAUAAAUGAAAUCACUCCCCGGUACAGGCUGCCAAUUGCCAUUGGGUCAGGCAACAGUCCAGCCUUCACCAUGUCCAUUACUCAAGUGGUCAGUAAGGCACUAAAUGUCCAAUGGAAACUACACUGUGCCUACCAGUCCCAGAGCUCUGGACAGGUUGAACGCAUGAACCGAACUUUAAAGGACACCCUUACAAAACUCAUUCUGGACACCGGUGAGAGACGGACAAACCUCCUUCCCCUCACACUCCUUAGAGAACUAGAUGCUCCCCUUAUCGGGCAAUUCACCCCAUACGAAAAUAAUGUUCGGUGGAGCACCACCCAUUCUACCAAGGCUGAAGGAUGUCCAUUUGGCAGAAAUCUCUCGUGCUAACCUGUUACAGUAUUUACAGUCUUUUCAACAGGUACAGGACUUUAUCCAGCCGCUUGUUUGAGAAACAUACUGGACCCCCACUUCUGACCAUCUGACCCGCCUACAUCCGGUCAUCCCUUCCACCCAGGAGACCUCAUGUAUAUCAAAGUUCCAGAAGGAAGGACUUACCCCAUCAUGGAAGGAACCCUACACCAUGAUCCUAGCAAGCCCCACUACCUGAAGGUUAACAGUUUUCCAACCUGGAUCCACUGCUCCUGCGCGAAGUCCGCUACCGAGACUCAACAAGCAACAUGGGUCCCUGAGCCAGGACCUCCUCUCUUAAGCCUACGAGAUUAGGGCAGGCAGGUCAACUUGGAGGAUUAACUCUGUGUGGGACAGCAUCCCCUUCCAGGUAGUAUUACUGACCACUUGUCCUGCUGGAAGGAGUAGGUGUGCCUCUCUGAGACCCAACACUGGUGUGUGGUGAUGGGGGGAGAAAUGAGAGAGAGCACAACUACUCCUACCAGUCUGCCCGAAUCUAGGAAGUCAGCCCUCUUUUCAGUUGGGGCUCCCAGGGUGACCCUGGGAUGCCUUGGCUGGGAUGUGGGAGAUCCGACAAUGAGGAAAAGGAACUUUAGUAAAUUGACUUUUACAUGUGUCCAGGAAACCCCUCAGAUGUAAACUAUCAGCAAGCAGAUGAGUAUUUCUGCCCAUAUUGGUCCCGUGUAACCCUAGCCGCCUAUCACGGGGGACCAACAAAAUCUUCAACCCUCCCUUUAGCCCUUGCUGCCCAUCCAAAAACAUGCUCUAUGGGAUCCUCUAAUCCCCUAAACCUACCAUCCACAAUCCCUCUGCCUUCUCUUGACCAUGGGGAUGAUCUGGGGACUCAGGCUAUAUGUAACUGGAUGGGAUUCGGGCACUCUGUUCGUAAUCCAAAAAAAGGUCCUUACCUACUGGAGACUGCCGAAACCUACUGGGCCAUAUCAGACUUAGGAGGACCUAUGUUCCAGCCCCAUCCCCAGUAAAAAUUUCAGCCGGCCCACCCUGGGUGGUCUCCGGGCUCGGGCCUAAACCUCAUCUAGCCCCAAUUCUAAUGUAUAUCCUUGCUAACAUGCAUAAGCUUCUAAAUACCACCCAACCCAAACUGACUCAAGACAGUUGGCUGUGCCUAAAAACAAAACCUCCAUAGUAUAUGGGAGUAGGAGCAGAAAAACCUAUCCCACUUGAAUCUCCUCCCUGCACAAAGCCUACCCGCUUGCUCACUCUAAGUUAUACUGUGGGAAACGCAUCCUGCUUAAUCAUCUCUGGAUAUAACCUGUCUGCUUCUCCCUUUCAGACUACUUGCAGUCAGUCUUUACUCACUGUUAGGAACUCCUCAUUGUCCUGUCGAGCUCCCAAUGGCAUCUGGUUGGCCUGCACCUCCAGUCUCACCCGUUGCAUAAAUGGAUAACUCUGGAGAACCCAAACUGUGUGUCUUGGUCCAUAUACUUCCCCAAGUGUAUGCAUACAGUGGACCAGAAGGACACCUCCUCUUCACCCCGCCAGGACUAUACUCCAGGUUCAGCCAUGGGGCCCUGAUUCUAGUGCCUCUCUUGGUAGGACUUGGUAUAGCAGGCUGCACUGCCCUGGGGUCUGCUGCUUUAAUCCAAGGAGAAACUGCACUGGUGUCAAUAUCCCAACACACUGAUACUGAUCUAGAAGAAAUUCACUCAGCCAUAAACAUGCUGGAUGCCCAAUCAGAUUCCCUAGGCAAGUUGGUCCUUCAAAACCACUGGGGUUUAGAUUUGUUGUUUCUGUCCCAAGAAGACUCAGUGCUAGAUCAGGGGAAAGCUGUUGUUUCUAUGCCAACAAGUCUGGAGUCAUCGGAGAUACUCUCCAAAGAGUCAGGGAUAACUUAGACAAACGCUGCGAGAGCAGAAGAAUAAUACUCCCUGGUACCAGGAACUGUUUAACUGGAAGCCCUGGCUCACAACCCUGAUCACCAGGCUGGCAGGCCCCCUACUUCUUCUUCUUUUAGGCCUAACUUCUGGACCACGCAUACUAAACUGGCUCCUAAAAUUGAUUAGGCAGCCCACAGCCUGUCAGCCUCAUGUACCUCAGAACCCACUACCAUCCUGUAGAUGCCACUGAGGAAUCCAUGAUUUGAUUCUGCCAAAACAUCAGUGGGGAAUGACAUAAUCUAGCCUGGCUAUGGUGACUCCAUUUUAAGCAAUCCUAUUAACUCCAUUCUAACCACCAUGAGCUAUGAGAGCACUUUGUUCCUGAAACUUUGUAGCCUGAGGCAUCUGGUAUUUUGUAACCUGUUUCUCUGAGAAACACGGCCCACUGGCCCAUACAUUCUGUACCUGCAGCUGUGUCACUGCCUUCCCCACAUCCUGCUGGACAACUUUAAAUAGAAUCUUUGUUGUUAGGUCCCCCCUCCCCUAACCUGCUCUUUCUGCUUCUCUAACAACUUGCUUUCCAUCCCCUAACCCCGCAAAGGUAUAAAAAUGUUGACUGCCUUCUGUUUGGGGCGGAGAGGUUUGAGCAAUAGCUGACUUUAGGACAUCAGCAUUAAACGGACUCCCAACAGACUCAGUGUGGCGCUUCUGUUUUACACUCGCUUUGGGUACAGCACAGCCUCCCAAGUAGCUGGGAUCACAGGCAUGCGCCACCAUGCCCGGCUACGUUUUUGUACUUUUAGUACAGACAGGGUUUCACUGUGUUAGCCAGGAUGGCCUUGAUCUUCUGACCUUGUGAUCCACCCAGCUCAGCUUCCUAAAGUGCUGGGAUUACAGGCGGGAGCCACAGUGGCUGCCCAGCGUGUCUCUUUUUUUUUACUCUCCUGAGGCCAAAGUAAAGUAUGAGAUGACAAACUGGAAUUUGAAGUAAUGAAGGCACGUGAGCCUCAGACCAAGCAUUCUUGGCCUUGUUGGGAAAAGGGGCAUUUAUGCAGUUCUCUCCCUGGUAUUUCCCAACGUAUUAUAAUGCUCCCAACUUCUCACUCCCUGGCCAGACCUGUCCCUCACAAUGAUUUAUAUCCACCUGGUGCUCACCUGGUUGGGUACCUGGGACAAUUCCUCUCUCCUGUCAUCAACUUAUCUUCUUGCUCCAACUGGGAGAUCAGACGUCUAUCAACUUGGUUCCCUGUACAUGGAGAAAAGGCACAUGAUGUAGGGGUCUGUGCAGCAGAUAAGCUCCCCCAUGAAGCUGAAAUCAGUACUUAUGAAGGUGAAGAGGUGUGACUUCAGGAGCAGAGGAAUCAUUAUGCCAAAAUUGAAUAUAUAAAGUAACCCUCUUUCACAAAAAUUAAAAGAAAAAAAAAAAUCACAAGCCUCUUCAGUCAAUAGCUAAGGCGGUUGCAGGAUAACUGGUCCCAGGAGCCCCAGUCCAGGUUUCAAUACAGAAUUUGAAAGCCCAAGAUUUAACUACAGAGAAUAUACCGUCAGUGUGGGAAGUAGAAAAGUUCCCUUUCUUGUUAAAGAAUAAGUGUGCUAAUAACUUUCUGAAGCCCUAUCCUAGGUAGGUGUCAGACAUGUCAUGCUCACAGGCACAUAGUACAUUCUAUGUCCUUGUACUUUAACCAAGAUAUCUGCGCUGGACGUGCUCACAAGCAUGUCCCAGCUCUCCGCUGCUUUUACCUAAGUUUUAAGUUGUUAGCCAAUUGGGUUUCAGUUUGGACUGUGAGGUCUGGCUACAGCCAAAGGAGAUCAGACAUAGCAGUAAGGACAACCCCAAAUGUGUAAAAAAUAAAUCUGUGUGUUCUCCUUUGUUCAUUUUACUCUUGUGGCAUGAUGGCUAGCAUGGGUGCCCUCUCCUGCAGUCCAGGAAGUAAAAAGUGUGUUGCUGAAGAGUC